CGUAGGGAGCAAGCGUUGUCCGGAAUCAUUGGGCGUAAAGAGCGCGUAGGCGGCCCUGUAAGUCCGUUCAUUGAAAGUCAAAGGCUCAACCUUUGAAAGCGGAUGGAUACUGCAGGGCUAGAGUCCGGAAGAGGCGAGUGGAAUUCCUGGUGUAGCGGUGGAAUGCGCAGAUAUCAGGAGGAACACCAACGGCGAAGGCAGCUCGCUGGGACGGUACUGACGCUGAGGCGACGAAAGCGUGGGGAGCGAACAGG
rnacentral:rRNA from 1 species